rnacentral:rRNA from 1 species
UCGAACGGUAACAGGAAGAAGCUUGCUUCUUUGCUGACGAGUGGCGGACGGGUGAGUAAUGUCUGGGAAACUGCCUGAUGGAGGGGGAUAACUACUGGAAACGGUAGCUAAUACCGCAUAACGUCGCAAGACCAAAGAGGGGGACCUUCGGGCCUCUUGCCAUCGGAUGUGCCCAGAUGGGAUUAGCUAGUAGGUGGGGUAACGGCUCACCUAGGCGACGAUCCCUAGCUGGUCUGAGAGGAUGACCAGCCACACUGGAACUGAGACACGGUCCAGACUCCUACGGGAGGCAGCAGUGGGGAAUAUUGCACAAUGGGCGCAAGCCUGAUGCAGCCAUGCCGCGUGUAUGAAGAAGGCCUUCGGGUUGUAAAGUACUUUCAGCGGGGAGGAAGGGAGUAAAGUUAAUACCUUUGCUCAUUGACGUUACCCGCAGAAGAAGCACCGGCUAACUCCGUGCCAGCAGCCGCGGUAAUACGGAGGGUGCAAGCGCUAAUCGGAAUUACUGGGCGUAAAGCGCACGCAGGCGGUUUGUUAAGUCAGAUGUGAAAUCCCCGGGCUCAACCUGGGAACUGCAUCUGAUACUGGCAAGCUUGAGUCUCGUAAAGGGGGGUAGAAUUCCAGGUGUAGCGGUGAAAUGCGUAGAGAUCUGGAGGAAUACCGGUGGCGAAGGCGGCCCCCUGGACGAAGACUGACGCUCAGGUGCGAAAGCGUGGGGAGCAAACAGGAUUAGAUACCCUGGUAGUCCACGCCGUAAACGAUGUCGACUUGGAGGUUGUGCCCUUGAGGCGUGGCUUCCGGAGCUAACGCGUUAAG